GUGGCUGAAAGAAGCUGCUUGAAGCCAAGCCCCACUCUGCUCUUGGGUGGCCAAAACUUUCCUCACCCCGGCCCAGGAACUCACCAUCCGGACACAAGAGGCGCUUCCUGGCAAACUGGACGUCGGAUCUCCACACCUGAGGGCACAGAGCACCGCUCCAGAAUCGAACUCACAACCACCUGCUUGUAAGGCAGGUGCUUAUGCUGCUGAGCUAAAUCCCCAGCCCCAGCCCCACUGAUCUUUCACAGGUGUCAGCUUCUGCUGCAACUGUGGCAGCGUACACCACACGUUCUCGGAACGCCUGUUCUGUGCCAAAGCCUGUGAAACGUGAACAGAGACCCUGCCCAGCCUUCUGCAGCUCACAGGCCAGGAGGGGCAAAUCCUGUCUGUCCCCUUAAGUCCCAGCUCUUCUGAGGAGGUAUCCUGUCCCUGGGAAAGAGUUUGGGAAUUGAACUGAGGACUUCACAUCCCCAUUCUGAGUGCUCCCUUUGAGAGCAUCAAAGAACUCUGCAUGAAUGCUCUGUGGAGGCAGGAGAAUGGGGAGAGGACAGCUGGGUCCAAAGAUGGCAUUGGCAUCAAACAUGGCAGCAGGUCAGGUGGCUGGAGCACAGCUGGCUAUGGGUGGGGGAGCCCCUUGCCUCUGUCACCCUGCAGGUGCAGCUGUCUCAUCAGGGACCACCACUGACAGGCAGCAGGCCAGCAGGACAAAACCAAUCAAGCACAGCAGAUAAAUUAACCGGAUGAUACAGGUCAGGGCUUUGUCCCCACUACCCACCCAGGGUCUGUUGCACUUCAGGAAUGAGAAGACUGAGGGCCGUGCUCUGAGCAAUGGGGCCUCACUGGGACCCAGCCCUGGCUUGUCCAUACCUGGCUGAUGCUGUACACCGGGGACAUGGAGGUGUCCAGCCCCAAGCCUGGGUGGCUCCAGGCAGCACUGAAGGUGGCAUGCAUCCUUGAGGAGAAGUGAAGGAUCAGCUGCUGAGCCCCUGUGGCCAUGCUUACAUUCCAGGACACAAGCGCCCCUGUUUGCAGAAGUGAAUCAGAGGUGGGCUACAGCAGGCUGGAAAGUCAGGGCUGGGCUGGAGUUUGCUUCAUCACAGCAAGCCAAGGGUGGAAUGGGGGUUUGAGCUGAGGUCACAUACUGGCUUACCUCUCUGGUGGGGGCAUUCAACGUGACUGCUGUUUUCAAAGUAGAACUGAGAAAUACAGGAGAAGAAAGUCAGCAGGACCCCGGCACCAGCGUUCCCUGUGUGCCUCUCUUGCCUGUGGUUGUACCUUGAAGCAGAGCUGGGGAUGCAAGUCUACCUUCUCCAAAGCGUACCACUGUGAAGGAGAGGGUGGUCAGCCGGGAGAAGGCCCCUGAUUUUCACCUAGAUGGUGGGGGCGAGGUAUACAGUCCUUACUCCGUCUGACUCUCGAACUGUGGCAUUGGGGAGGUCUUCACAGGGGCCAUGCUGGUCCUGCCUCUGGCAGAGGUAGGCCUCCAGUUUUAGUGGGCAGCGCAGUGUGAGGGCCAUGACCAUCUGAUUGUGCUGGCUGUGGUCAGUGAAGUGCACUGACUUCCAGAGGUCGGAGGCAUCUGGAAAGCAGCCAGAUGGGGGGAGGCCUCAGCCCUGCCCCACCCUCUCCUCGAGUUCCCAUCCCCAGGCCUAGACCAUGAGAAAGUGCCAGGAACAGCUCCUGGCCCAAUUAGGUGCUGCUCAGUUGGUAAUUGUUUCUUUGUUGUUUUUGUUUUUGUUUUUUAACCUCAACUUGUGAGAAUGGAGCUCAGUUGGUAAUUGUCCCCACUUGUAUCUCCUUUGUUGUCUUUCUACCCAGCAGUCUUCUUCCUGGCCAUCUCCAUGCUAUGCCUCUACUCAGAUCUGCUUAGGCUGUUUUCAAAACCUGGGAUGCAGGGGCUGGGGAUUUAAUUCAGCAGGCAGUUGUGAGUUCGAUCCCUGGUACCGAUAAAAAAGAAAAAGACAAAAACAAAAACAAAAACAAAACCUGGGAUGCAUUGCCCUCCUCCUUCCCCUUCCAAAUCCUGCCCAUUGCUGAGCCCUGCUCCUGUGCCAGCUUCCCUGAGGGGCCUUUUCAGCUUGCCACAGGCUUUGUAGGCUUCUGCCUUUCUUAAGUUCAUGUCUUGCAAGCUAGUGCUUAAUAUCACCCUGCCCCGCGUGUCCUGCAGUCUGCUGGGUGCUCUGCAUCUGUGUCUCAGUGCACUGUCCUGGAGGAUUGCAAUGGGUACAGCACGGUAGACUCACCUGUCACUUGCACUUGGAAUAGUUCACUCAAGCCCCAUAAACAGUUUGAAAGAUCAGCAGAGCAAUCUCACAAUUUUACAGAUGAGAAAAGGCAGCUCAGAAGAAAAACAGUGCAGAGCUAGAGGGGGACCUGGUUCUCUGGCCCAUGCCCCUGGAAUGCCACUUCCUGCACUGUUUCUCUCUGAUCCUAUCACAGCUGCAGUGUUUAGUGCUUUUGAGUUUGUUGGCAGGCAAAUUGUUGUAAAUAUACUGUCCCUUCCCCUAGUGAUCCAGGGAAAGUGCCUACUCAGGGCUUCUUCCAGCACAGGAACAAGGUGGCAAAGUGGGGUGUGUGUGUGUGUGUGUGUGUGUGUGUGUGUGUGUGUGUAAGACAGAAACAGACAGCCAUAAACACAGAGAGGGCGCAUGUGCACAGGAGUGCAUGCAAGCCAUACUCACAGGCUUUGGGCCAGUUCUGGAAGGGACAUUUUUUGCGCCUCACAGUAUCCUCUUGCAGGUAGGCUGCCUGGGGUAGGGUAAGGGAAUAGCAGAUGGGCAAGGAGGGUCAGGAAGGGCAUUUCCUGCAGCACUCAUUCGGGUUCCUGCUUUUCCUUGACACAGUCUGUCUGCACAGGAAGGGCACAGAAGAGGGAAGCAGGAUGGGAUUUGGGGAAGGCGGGGAGGACCUCGGGUGGAGGAGCGGCUGCUAAGUGAGGGGCUGACUCUUCUCCCUGGAGAGAGCUCUCAGCAAGAAGGAGCUCAUGAGGCUCGCAGUCCUGGUUUAGCCUUCCCUGGCCUCCACGUCCAGCCAUGCUCACAUGCCAAGGGCCUGUGCUGCCCUACCCUGGACUGCCCACAUGCUGGCUCUUUUUAUUUUAUUUUUUUACCUGUUUCAAAUUUUAGGUUCCUUUAUUAAAACACUAAAUUGAGAUGGACUAAGUCUUUUCUCAUUCAAAACAAACCUCAGGGUCAGAGUAAUAAUUCAGCUUUUCAAACAUCUUCAGUUUUCACCUCUGUGCUCUGCUCUCCUCUCCUCUGCACGGCGCUAGCUCUUGUGCACUCUGCCAGUGGCUUGGUGACCAGAUCUCUGCCGGACCCUCUCCUUGGCCCGCCUUUCCUAACUGGGUCAAAGCAGUCUCUCUGCUGGCUACCUCAGAGGGAAGAUGAGGAGGACUGGACUAGAGGGCGGAGGGCCCAGGGACAUGGAACAUGCAGGGAGGCCUCUGUCCAUCUGUGCCAGGUCUUGUGCGGGGAGACCUGGGGCUGAAUGGGGAUGAGGCAGGAAUCUCACUAAGCAGGUUCUGUGCGCAAUAGGACCCUUCUGCCUCUAGGCAUGUGUGGCCACAGCCAGCUGACAACAGUCUUCCUGAGCAUCUCUUUGACAGUACUUUUUUCUUUUUGUACCUGGGGUUGAACUCAGGGCUUUUGCACUGAGUUUUUUGUUUAUCUGUUUUCUUGAGACAGGCUUUCACUAUGUAGUUCGUAUUCUUGAACUCACCUUCUAUCCCAAAUUGGUUUUGAACUCAUGGUGAUCCUCCUGCCUCAGCCUCCCAGAGUGCUGCUAUUACAAGUGUGUGCCACCACACCUCGCUAGUCCUUUUUUGUUUGUUUGUUUGUUUCUAUUUCGUGGUGCUGGAGUCAAAACGAGACCUUGUGCAUGUUAGGCUAGUGCUCUAUCACUAAGCCCCACCUCUAGCUCUGCCUUGUCUCUUUAAAACCUGACUUGGCCAGGGAUGUAGCUCAGUGGCACUGCGCUUGCCUGGCAGCACGAAGUCCUGAUUUGAUUCCCAGUACCAAAAAAAUAAAACUUGGGGCUGGGGAUUUAGCUCAGCGGCAUAAGCACCUGCCUUGCAAGCAGGCAGCGGUGAGUUCAAUCCCUGGUACCGAUAAAAAUGAAGAAAAUGAAGAAAAAUAAAUAAAUAAAUACAACUUGA